UACGGGGGGGCAAGCGUUGUUCGGAAUUACUGGGCGUAAAGGGCUCGUAGGCGGCCAACUAAGUCAGACGUGAAAUCCCUCGGCUUAACCGGGGAACUGCGUCUGAUACUGGAUGGCUUGAGUGUGGGAGAGGGAUGCGGAAUUCCAGGUGUAGCGGUGAAUGCGUAGACAUCUGGAGGAACACCGGUGGCGAAGGCGGCAUCCUGGACCACGACUGACGCUGAGUGAGCGAAAGCCAGGGGAGCAAACGGG
rnacentral:rRNA from 1 species